rnacentral:rRNA from 1 species
CAACUUUCAACAACGGAUCUCUUGGCUCUCGCAUCGAUGAAGGACGCAGCGAAAUGCGAUAAGUAAUGUGAAUUGCAGAACUCAAGUGAAUCAUCGAAUCUUUGAACGCACCUUGCGCCCUCUGGUAUUCCGGAGGGCAUGCCUGUUUGAGUGUC